rnacentral:rRNA from 1 species
UGGGGAAUAUUGCACAAUGGGCGCAAGCCUGAUGCAGCCAUGCCGCGUGUGUGAAGAAGGCCUUCGGGUUGUAAAGCACUUUCAGCGGGGAGGAAGGCGAUAAGGUUAAUAACCUCAUCGAUUGACGUUACCCGCAGAAGAAGCACCGGCUAACUCCGUGCCAGCAGCCGCGGUAAUACGGAGGGUGCAAGCGUUAAUCGGAAUUACUGGGCGUAAAGCGCACGCAGGCGGUCUGUCAAGUCGGAUGUGAAAUCCCCGGGCUCAACCUGGGAACUGCAUUCGAAAAUGGCAGGCUAGAGUCUUGUAGAGGGGGGUAGAAUUCCAGGUGUAGCGGUGAAGUGCGUAGAGAUCUGGCGGAAUACCGGGGGCGAAGGCGGCCCCCUGGACAAAGACUGACGCUCAGGUGCGAAAGCGUGGGGGGCAAACAGG